rnacentral:lncRNA from 7 species
AUGGGAUCACCAUCAUCUCACCAUGGGAUCACUAGGAUGUCACCAUCGGAUCACCAGGAGUCACCAUGGCAGCACUGGGAGUCACCAUGGGAUCACCAGGAGUCACCAUGGGAUCACCGGGAAUCACCAUGGGAUCACCAGGAGUCACCAUGGGGUCACCAUGGAAUCACCAUGGGAUCACCAGGAUCUCACUAUGGGAUCACCAGGAGUCACCAUGGCAACACUGGGAGUCACCAUGGCAGCACCAUAAGGUCACCAUGGGAUCACCAGGAUCUCAUUCACCAUAGGAUCACCAUCAUCUCACCAUGGGAUCACCAGGAGUCACUAUGGGAUCACCGGGAAUCACCAUGGCAGCACUGGGAGUCGCCAUGGGAUCAGCAGGAGUCACCAUGGGAUCACCGGGAGUCACCAUGGCAGCACCAGGAAUCACCAUGGGAUCACCAGGAUCUCACUAUGGGAUCACCAGGAGGUCACCAUGGCAGCACUGGGGGUCACCAUGGGAUCACCAGGAUGUCACCAUGGGGUCACCAGGAGGUCAGCAUGGGAUCACCAGGAGUCACCAUGGGAUCACCAGGAAUCACCAUGGGAUCACCAUCAUCUCACCAUGGGAUCACUAGGAUGUCACCAUCGGAUCACCAGGAGUCACCAUGGCAGCACUGGGAGUCACCAUGGGGUCACCAGCAGUCGCCAUGGGGUCACCAGGAGUCACCAUGGGAUCACCGGGAAUCACCAUGGGAUCACCAGGAGUCGCCAUGGGAUCACCAGGAGGUCACCAUGGCAGCACUGGGAGUCACCAUGAGAUCACCUGAAUGUCCCCAUGGGAUCACCAGGAGUCACCAUGGCAACACUGGGGGGCACCAUGGCAGCACCAGGAAUCAACAUGGGAUCACCAGGAUCUCACUAUGGGAUCACCAGGAGGUCACCAUGGGAUCACCAGGAGUCACCAUGGGAUCACCAGGAGGUCACCAUGGCAGCACUGGGAGUCACCAUGGCAGCACCAUAAGGUCACCAUGGGAUCACCAGGUGUCACCAUGGGAUCACCAGGAUGUCACCAUGGGGUCACCAGGAGGUCAGCAUGGGAUCACCAGGACUCACAAUGGGAUCACUGGGAGUCACCAUGGGAUCACCAGGAGUCACCAUGGGAUCACCGGGAAUCACCAUGGGAUCACCAGGAUGUCCCCAUGGGAUCACCAGGAGUCACCAUGGCAGCACCAGGAUGUCCCCAUGGGCUCACCAGGAGCUCAUUAUGGGAUCACCAGGAUGUGACCAUGGGAUCAGUGCGAUGUCCCCAUGGGAUCACCAGAAUGUCCCCAUGGGAUCACCUGAAUGUCACCAUGGGAUCACCAGGAUGUCACUAUGGGAUCACCAGGAUGUCACCAUGGCAGCACCAGGAUGUCCCCAUGGGAUCACCAGGACCUCACUAUGGGAUCACCAGGAUGUCACCAUGGGAUCAGCAGGAUGUCACCACAGGAUCACAAGGAUGUCACCAUGGGAUCAGCAGGAUCUCAUUAUGGGAUCAGCAGCUGUCCGUAUGGGAUCAGUGGGCUGUCUGUAUGGGAUCACCAGGAUGUCACUAUGGGAUCAGCAGGCUGUCACUAUGGGAUCACCGCAACGUCACCAUGGGAUCAGAAGGCUGUCUGUAUGGGAUCACCAGGAUGUCCCUAUGGGAUCAGCAAGCUGUCACUAUGGGAUCACCAGGCUGUCCCUAUGAGAUCAGCAGGAUGUUGCUAUGGGAUCAGCAGGAUCCCACCAUAGCAGUACCAGGCUGACACUAUGGGAUCAGAAGGCUGUCACUAUGGGAUCACCGUAAUGUCACCAUGGGAUCAGCAGGCUGUCACUAUGGGAUCAGCAGGCUGUCCGUAUGGGAUCAGCAGACUGUCCCUAUGGGAUCAGUGGGCUGUCUGUAUGGGACCAGCAGGCUGUUCCUAUGGGAUCAGUGAAUCUCACUAUGGGACCACCAGGCUGUCCGUAUGGGAUCAGUGGGCUGUCUGUAUGGGAUCAGUAGGAUCUCACUAUGGGACCACCAGGCUGUCUGUAUGGGAUGAGGCGGCUGCCCGUAUGGGAUCAGUGGGCUGUCUGUAUGGGAUCAGCAGACUGUCCCUAUGGGAUCAGUGGGCUGUCUGUAUGGGAUGAGGUGGCUGUCCAUAUGGAAUCAGUGUGCUGUCUGUAUGGGAUCAGUAGGAUCUCACUAUGGGAUCAGCAGGCUGUCUGUAUGGGAUCAGCGGGCUGUCUGUAUGGGAUCAGCAGGCUGUUCCUAUGGGAUCUGUAGGAUCUCUCUAUGGGAUCAGCAGGAUCUCACUAGGGGAUCAGCAGGCUGUUCGUGUGGGAUCAGUGGGCUGUCUGUAUGGGAUGAGGUGGCUGUCCGUAUGGGAUCAGUGGGUUGUCUGUAUGGGAUCAGCAGGAUCUCACUAUGGGACCACCAGGCUGUCCGUGUGGGAUCAGUGGGCUGUCUGUAUGGGAUGAGGCGGCUGCCCGUAUGAUAUCAGUGGGCUGUCUGUAUGGGAUCAGCAGGAUCUCACUAUGGGAUCAGCAGGCUGUCCGUAUGGGAUCAGAAGGCUGCCCGUGUGGGAUCGGUGGGCUGUCUGUAUGGGAUCAGAAGGCUGUCCGUGUGGGAUCAGUGGGCUGUCUGUAUGGGAUCAGCAGGAUCUCACUAUGGGAUCAGUAGGAUCUCUCUAUGGGAUCAGCAGGAUCUCACUAUGGGAUCAGCAGGCUGUCCCUAUGGGAUCAGUAGGCUGUCUGUAUGGGAUGAGGCGGCUGCCCAUAUGGGAUCAGUGGGCUGUCUGUAUGGGAUCAGUGGGCUGUUCCUAUGGGAUCAGCAGGAUCUCACUAUGGGACCAUCAGGCUGUCCGUGUGGGAUCAGCGGUGUGGUGCUUGUGCGGUGCGGGGCGGUACGGUGCGGUGUGGGGUGGUGUGGGGUGGGGUGGGGCAGUGCUGUGCAGUGCGGUGCGGGAUGGCGCUGUGCGGUGCGCUGCGGUA